rnacentral:misc_RNA from 1 species
AAAGUCGUAACAAGGUUUCCGUAGGUGAACCUGCGGAAGGAUCAUUACAGAGUUCUUGCCCUUACGGGUAGAUCUCCCACCCUUGAAUACAUACCUUUGUUGCUUUGGCGGGCCGCGCUUGCGCUACUGGCUUCGGCUAGUACGUGCCCGCCAGAGAACCACAACUCUUGUUUUUAGUGAUGUCUGAGUACUAUAUAAUAGUUAAAACUUUCAACAACGGAUCUCUUGGUUCUGGCAUCGAUGAAGAACGC